UGGCAUAAGCCAGCUUGACUGCGAGCGUGACGGCGCGAGCAGGUGCGAAAGCAGGUCAUAGUGAUCCGGUGGUUCUGAAUGGAAGGGCCAUCGCUCAACGGAUAAAAGGUACUCCGGGGAUAACAGGCUGAUACCGCCCAAGAGUUCAUAUCGACGGCGGUGUUUGGCACCUCGAUGUCGGCUCAUCACAUCCUGGGGCUGAAGUAGGUCCCAAGGGUAUGGCUGUUCGCCAUUUAAAGUGGUACGCGAGCUGGGUUUAGAACGUCGUGAGACAGUUCGGUCCCUAUCUGCCGUGGGCGCUGG
rnacentral:rRNA from 1 species